AACAUAUAACAGUGAUAAAGAGCUAAAGAUCCCAUUCAGUCAUGAAUGACCAUAGCUUUGCACCUAUAAAGUUAUCUUCCAAGGCACAAGCCUGGGCAAGGUUGUUUAUGGAAGACCAGCAGUCGCCCAUGCAUGCCAGCCUCCCUUCUCCAUGCAACCAAAGUUAUCCAAGGGAAAGGCAAAGGGGCCGAUACAG